UACGGAGGGUGCAAGCGUUGUCCGGAAUCACUGGGCGUAAAGGGCGCGUAGGCGGCUCAUGAAGGCUGUGGUGAAAGUCCGGGGCUCAACCUCGGAUCGGCCGUGGCGACUCGUGGGCUGGAGCACUGUAGAGGCGGGUGGAAUUCCGGGUGUAGCGGUGGAAUGCGUAGAGAUCGGGAGGAAGGCCGGUGGCGAAGGCGGCGCUCUGGAACGUUUCUGACGCUGAGGCUCGAAAGCGUGGGGAGCAAACAGGG
rnacentral:rRNA from 1 species